CACGUAGGGGGCAAGCGUUGUCCGGAUUUAUUGGGCGUAAAGAGCUCGUAGGCGGUCUGUCGCGUCUGCCGUGAAAACUCGGGGCUUAACCCCGGGCCUGCAGUGGGUACGGGCAGACUAGAGUGCGGUAGGGGAGACUGGAAUUCCUGGUGUAGCGGUGAAAUGCGCAGAUAUCAGGAGGAACACCGGUGGCGAAGGCGGGUCUCUGGGCCGUAACUGACGCUGAGGAGCGAAAGCAUGGGGAGCGAACAGG
rnacentral:rRNA from 1 species